rnacentral:misc_RNA from 1 species
UUUCCGUAGGUGAACCUGCGGAAGGAUCAUUCACAAUAAGUGUUUAAUGCCCCUUUUUAAACAAUCCAUAUCCACCUUGUGUGCAACGUUAUGAGACCCUCUAUCGCUAUCUUUUAGGAUACGGAAGGGGGAAUCUCUACAACUAACCUACAUCACCUUUACCUUAUUUAUAUAACCAUUUGUAAUCACGAAUUAACUUAAUUCAACAGUACAACUUUCAACAACGGAUCUCUUCACACUCGCAUAGUCGAAGAACGCAGUACAUCGGAAUAGCACACC